GCGAAAUCGGUCGAGGAUUGCCGAGUAAUCCUUCUACGCAUCAUUGCGCAUUUCCGGAAAUUUCCGAAUGAGUUCAAUAAAACGAUAAACAAUCCGGAACAUUUUUACAAACGUAGUGAACUCGGGGUGUACAAACACGCCGAGAAAGUUAUGUUGAGGGCCGCAGACGCUAUAAUAUUAGACGAAAACUUUGGCCCGAAAGAGGAAGAAGAAAAAGAGAAAAUGCCUGCGUUACAUAGUACAAAUCUCGUCCCCAGUAAGCGGUAUUGUAUAUCGCUCGGUGCAGGGCCUCGG